rnacentral:rRNA from 1 species
AACACGUAAGCCCUGCCCGAAAGACCGGGACAACAGCUCGAAAGGGCUGCUAAUACCGGAUGUGUCCACGGUUUCCUGACCUUGUGAGUAAAUCAUUUAUGGCUUUCGGAGGGGCUUGCGGCCUAUCCUAGAUGGCGGUGUAACGGACCCCCAUGGCGACGACGGGUAGCUGGUCUGAGAGGAUGCAGCCGGACUGGGACUGAGAUACGGCCCAGACUCCUACGGGGGGCAGCAAUUAGGAAUUGUGCAAUGGGCGAAAGCCUGACACAGCGACGCCGCGUGAGGGAGGAAGGCCUUCGGGGUAAACCUCUUUUGACGAGGAAGAACACAAUGACGGUACUCGUCGAAUAAGCCCCGGCACUCCGUGCCAGCAGCCGCGGUAAUACGGGGGGGGCGAGCGUUGUCCGAAGUUACUGGGUAAAGCGCGUGUAGGCGGGUUGUUAAGUCCGCUGUGAAAGCCCGGUGCUCAACGCCGGGGUCGGUGGAUACUGGCAGUCUUGAAGUGGCUAGGGGGAAAUGGAAUUACCGGUGUAGGUGAAAUGCGUAGAUAUCGGUAGGAACACCAGUGGCGAAGGCGGUUUCCUGGAGCUAUUGACGCUGAGACGCGAAAGCUGGGGGAGCAAACGGGAUUAGAUACCCCGGUAGUCCCCCCUAAACGAUGGAUACUAGGUGUCAGGGGUAUCGACCCCUCUGGUGCCGCAGCUAAC